GCCACUGCAGCAUCAGGUGACUCCAGGGAAAGCUAUGGAAGACCUGAUGUACUGUGUCCACAGAUGAUGGCAGGCUCAUUGCUACAACAUUGCACAGACAAAAUGAUAUCAUGUUCCAGAGCCCAGUGUAACAGGAAGCAAUCUAACUGUCCUGUGUGGGAGCCUUAGCUGGAAAACUGCAGUUGGCA